AACGCACGAGACCUGCGGACCUGCGGAGGGAUCAUUAGUGAACGCCCUCACGGGCUUAUAACUAUUCCAAACCUCUGUGAACCGUGCCCUUCGGGGCUAUUUUACAAACAUGGUGUAAUGAAUGUCAUAUAUCAUAACAAAACAAAACUUUCAACAAUGGAUCUCU
rnacentral:misc_RNA from 1 species